AAGAUGUCUCGUUGCUUUGUUCUGCUUCCUCAGAAGUCAGUCAGGUGGGGACAAAGCAUGUCCUGCCCAGGGUGGUGUGAAUAGGAUGCAGUGCUCGCUGUGCGCGUGCUCCCUUCUCUAUCUGCAUGCAGAGCAUCGUGCAGUUUCACUAUCAGUUGUUUGUGACUUCUCUCUAAAUCAGAACCCAAGUUUUGCAGUCAGGAGGGCUGGCAGAGCUCAAGACCCGCUGGUUCUUGUAACUAAAGAGGUGUUGACCACAGUUUGCAGCUCUCAGCCCUCUGCCAGGGCAGAUAGGCCCUUCUCCAACUGCUGCCCUCCAGCCCCAGCCCCAAAGGAGCCAACGUCCCCAAGCAGUGACGCUUUCUGUCCCGUGAUACGGCCAGCCGUGCCUGACAAGCUGGUUUUUGCUCUCUCCACCUCUCAUAAUCUCAGGCACCAGAGAUUUCCUGAUGUUCUUCAAAGAGGGGCAGACAGCUGAGGCCGUUGCAAGAGGAGGAGCCCCGCAGCCUUCCCGCUAUGGGACUGAGCGCGCUGACCCCAACCCCGCUCCCACGCCAGCGUCAGCCCCGGGGAUAACAGAGCCUAGGUGCACACACAGACCAAGCGGAGGUGUGGAGGUGCAGCGUGGUGCAAAGCACCAUUGCCAUGAACUAAGAAGUUCCGGGCCAGGAUCCAAGCGAGGGCUGCAGCCUUCCAUCUGCAAACACCAUUUGCUACAGGGGUUUAGCAACCGGGGCUGUCACAACUGCAGCAGCUGCAGAAUCCUUGGCCAUGAGUGGGGGCAGCUCUGCCAUUGCGUCACUGCUUUGUGCAGUGCAGCACAGGGGAUGGAAUGGCCAGCUGCAACGCGAGGCAGCGUGUGUUGAGCAAAGCAGUGCCCGGUUCUGUUUUCAUACAAGUGAGCUUCUCAUGUGUACUUGUUAUUUUCUAACUGUUUGGUAAUGUUCAUUUCAUUUACUGCAUGCAUAAAUGAGCAAAUACGACAUAUACAAAUGUCGGGAAGUAAUUUAGUUUGUUAAGCUUCUUCAUUAAAAGAACUCUGUAUUAUUAAA